UGGGGAAUUUUGGACAAUGGGCGAAAGCCUGAUCCAGCAAUGCCGCGUGUGUGAAGAAGGCCUUCGGGUUGUAAAGCACUUUUGUCCGGAAAGAAAUCCUUGGCUCUAAUACAGUCGGGGGAUGACGGUACCGGAAGAAUAAGCACCGGCUAACUACGUGCCAGCAGCCGCGGUAAUACGUAGGGUGCAAGCGUUAAUCGGAAUUACUGGGCGUAAAGCGUGCGCAGGCGGUUUGCUAAGACCGAUGUGAAAUCCCCGGGCUCAACCUGGGAACUGCAUUGGUGACUGGCAGGCUAGAGUAUGGCAGAGGGGGGUAGAAUUCCACGUGUAGCAGUGAAAUGCGUAGAGAUGUGGAGGAAUACCGAUGGCGAAGGCAGCCCCCUGGGCCAAAUACUGACGCUCAUGCACGAAAAGCGUGGGGGAGCAAAACAGGAUUAGAUACCCUGGUAGUCCACGCCCUAAAACGAUGUCAACUAGUUGUUGGGGAUUCAUUUCCUUAGUAACGUAGCUAACGCGUGAAGUUGACCGCCUGGGGAGUACGGUCGCAAGAUUAAAACUCAAAGGAAUUGACGGGGUCAUAGCUGUUUCCU
rnacentral:rRNA from 1 species